rnacentral:rRNA from 1 species
GCCUAUGACCAAAUCACCCAGAAUGCGCCCAAUUUCGUCAGAUCUCGGAAGCUCAGCAGGAUGGAGCCUGCAUCGUGCUUGGAUGGGCGACCACCACCUUGCACAACAGGUGUUAUAGGGA